UUAAGAUACUAAGAGCAUACGGGGGAUGCCUUGGCGAUAUCUGCCGAAGAAGGACGUGACAAGCUGCGAAAAGCUGCGGAGAGAUGCAAAUAAUCUUAGACCCGCAGAUAUCCGAAUGGAGCAAUCCGGCUGUGGUUAUGCACAGUCAUCCAUACCAUUGAGUAUGAGAAGGGAACCGGACGAACUGAAACAUCUAAGUAAUCCGAGGAAGAGUAAUCAAACGAGAUACCCCAAGUAGCGGCGAGCGAACGGGGCAGAAGCCCAAACCGCGGAAGGAAACUUUUGCGGGGUAGAGGGCCAUCAAUAAAGCAAGAACCUUUAGCUGAAUCUGUUGGGAAACAGAGCCGAAGACAGUGAAAGCCUGGUAAGCGAAAGAGGGACUUGUGGAGAUGGUACCGGAGUACUGCGGGACACGAGAAAUCCCGUAGGAAGCAGGGGGGACCACCCUCCAAGGCAAAACACAGAUAUCGACCGAUAGCGAAUAGUACCAUGAGGGAAAGGUGAAAAGCACCCCGGGAGGGGAAUGAAAAAGAACCUGAAACCGUAUGUUUACAAGCAGUCGAAGACCGCUUAAUAAUAAGGUCAACGGCGUGCCUAUUGAAGAAUGAACCGGCGAGUUAUGAGGUCUGGCGAGGUUAAGCAGGAAAUGCGGAGCCGAAGCGAAAGCGAGUCUUAAUAGGGCGAAAGUCGGAUUGCAUAGACCCGAAACCACAGUGAUCUACCCAUGUCCAGGUUGAAACACAGGUAAAAAUGUGUGGAGGACCGAACCUAUAUCUGUUGAAAAAGGUUAGGAUGAGGUGUGGGUAGGGGUGAAAUUCCAAUCGAACGUGGAGAUAGCUGGUUCUCCCCGAAAUAGCUUUAGGGCUAGCCUCAGGGAAGAGAUUACAGGCGGUAGAGCACUGAUCAGGGGCGGGACCUACCCGGUUACCAAACCUAGUCAAACUCCGAAUGGCUGUAAUUAUACCUGGGAGUCAGACUACGACUUAUAAGGGCCGUAGUCAAAAGGGAAACAGCCCAGACCAUCAGCUAAGGUCCCCAAUGCCGUGCUAAGUGGAGAAGGAUGUGGCAUUUCAUAAACAACCAGGAUGUUGGCUCAGAAGCAGCCACCAUUUAAAGAGUGCGUAAUAGCUCACUGGUCGAGAGACGCUGCGCCGAAAAUGUCCGGGGCUCAAGCACGGAACCGAAGCUAUGGCAGACGCAAGUCUGGGUAGGGGAGCGUUCUUAUGAGGAAGAAGCAUGACCGUAAGGACAUGUGGACACAUAAGAAGUGAGAAUGCCGGUAUGAGUAUCGAAAAGAAAGGUGAGAAUCCUUUCCACCGAAAGCCCGAGGGUUCCUGAGCAACGAUCGUCGACUCAGGGUAAGUCGGGACCUAAGCCGAGGCGAAAAGCAUAGGCGAUGGACAACAGGUUGAAAUUCCUGUACCGGAUAAAGUCGUUACGAGCAAUGGAGUGACGCAGGAGGGUACAUGAUCGCGCGACUGGAAGAGCGCGUCCAAGUGAGUAUGUAGAUACAGAGGCAAAUCCCUGUAUCUGAAAGCAGAGACAUGAUGGGGAGUUAAAGGAAACUUUGACGAACUGAUGGAUCCCACACUGCCAAGAAAAACUUCUAGCCAGACAAUAUCCGCCCGUACCGUAAACCGACACAGGUAGGCGGGGAGAGAAUCCUAAGGUGCGCGGGAAAACCCUCGUUAAGGAACUCGGCAAAUUGCAUCCGUAACUUCGGGAGAAGGAUGACCCUGAGUAAAAGAAGAGCAGAAACGCUUAGAGGAGAAAAGGGUGGCAGAAAAGAGGCCCAAGCAACUGUUUACCAAAAACACAGGUGCCUGCGAAAGCGAAAGCUGAAGUAUAGGUGCUGACGCCUGCCCGGUGCCGGAAGGUUAAGGAGAGAGGUCAGCUAAGGCGAAGCUUCGAACUGAAGCCCCGGUGAACGGCGGCCGUAACUAUAACGGUCCUAAGGUAGCGAAAUUCCUUGUCGGGUAAG
rnacentral:rRNA from 1 species